GUCAUGAACCCCGGUUUUUCAAACCGGGGCUUGCUGAGCGGUUCGCCGCUGAGCAGGCCCUCAUGAGCAGACUCAGUUUGGAGCUUGCUCCGAGCUCUGUUCGCGACGAAAUUAGGUACCAGUGGGUGCGAGGCCAGCCCGCUGCUCUACGGCGAUGGGUUAAACAGGCUGAGGGGUAAAGCCAGUGCUCAUCGCGCUAAACCGUCGCUGAACCUUGUCGAGGCCAACAUCAC
rfam:Ktedonobacter racemifer DSM 44963 strain SOSP1-21 Krac_Contig206, whole genome shotgun sequence.